rnacentral:lncRNA from 1 species
UCACCAUAAGUUGAAACAUUGGGUCUUGGUUCAAAAUCUUGCAUGGCUUUGUUUUUUUCUCUCAUAUCAACCUCAUUGUCACCAUAAGCUGAAACAUUAGGUCUUGGUUCAAAAUCUUUCAUGGUUUUGCUUUUUUCUUUCACAUCAACUUCAUUAUCACCAUAAGCUGAAACAUUAGGUCUUGGUUCAAAAUCUUUCAUGGCUUUAUUUUUUUCCCUCACAUCAACCUCAUUGUUACCAUAGACUGAAACAUUAGGUCUUGGUUCAAAAUCUUCCAUACCUUUUUUUUCCAUAUUUUUUUUCUUUUCCAUGCAAUCAAUAUCAUUGUGAUCGGGACUUGCUUCAAGAUUUUUCACAACUUUCUUCUUUGACUUAACAUCAAUGUCAUGGUUUCUAUAGUUUACGGCAUUAGAUUUCACAUCAAAGUUUUUUAGAACUUUAAAUUCUUCCGGCACAUCCUGAU